CCUACGGGCGGCAGCAGUGAGGAAUAUUGGUCAAUGGACGCAAGUCUGAACCAGCCAUGCCGCGUGCAGGAAGACGGCUCUAUGAGUUGUAAACUGCUUUUGUACGAGGGUAAACGCAGAUACGCGUAUCUGUCUGAAAGUAUCGUACGAAUAAGGAUCGGCUAACUCCGUGCCAGCAGCCGCGGUAAUACGGAGGAUUCAAGCGUUAUCCGUAUUUAUUGGGUUUAAAGGGUGCGUAGGCGGUCGGAUAAGUUAGAGGUGAAAUCCCGAGGCUCAACUUCGGAAUUGCCUGUGAUACUGUUCGGCUAGAGAGUAGUUGCGGUAGGCGGAAUGUAUGGUGUAGCGGUGAAAUGCUUAGAGAUCAUACAGAACACCGAUUGCGAAGGCAGCAUACCAGGCUACUUCUGACGUUGAGGCACGAAAGCGUGGGGAGCAAACAGGAUUAGAUACCCCAGUAGUC
rnacentral:rRNA from 1 species